rnacentral:rRNA from 1 species
CAAUAGCGUAUAUUAAAGUUGUUGCAGUUAAAAAGCUCGUAGUUGGAUUUGUGUGUUUUGAUUGUGGUCUGAAAAUUUCAGCACUGCGUUUCAAAGUACAUUAUUUGUAGCUCGGCGGUCUGGCAUUAAGUUGUUGGGUCGUGCAGACUACAUCGUUUACUGUGAAAAAAUUAGAGUGUUUCAAGCAGGCAUACGCCUUGAAUACAUUAGCAUGGAAUAAUAAGAUAGGACCUCGGUUCUAUUUUGUUGGUUUCUAGGACCGAAGUAAUGAUUAAUAGGGAUAGUUGGGGGCAUUAGUAUUUAAUUGUCAGAGGUGAAAUUCUUGGAUUUAUGAAAGACUAACAUCUGCGAAAGCAUUUGCCAAGGAUGUUUUCAUUGA